rnacentral:rRNA from 1 species
UAAACAGAAAAGAGCGUAGGGCGGAUGCCUUGGCACUAAGAGCCGAUGAAGGACGUGAUAAGCUGCGAUAAGCUGCGGGGAAGAGCAAAUAUCUAUUGAUCCGCAGAUUUCCGAAUGGGGAAACCUACUGCAGAAGACCUGCAGUGACUGUGCGUAAAUCCAUAGCGUACAGCCGGGAACCCGCUGAACUGAAACAUCUAAGUAGGCGGAGGAAGAGAAAACAACAGUGAUUCCGUAAGUAGUGGCGAGCGAACACGGAAGAGCCCAAACCGCGGUGCGUGCACCGCGGGGUUCGGACUGCGUAAGGGAAUUGAAUGGUUACCGGAAGGACUUUGGAAAAGUCCGCCAGAGAGGGUGAAAGCCCCGUACGGGAAAACGAUUCGAAACUCGGCAGGAUCCAGAGUACCACGAGACACGUGAAACCUUGUGGGAAUACGGGGGGACCACCCCCUAAGGCUAAAUACUACUUAGUGACCGAUAGUGCAUAGUACUGUGAAGGAAAGGUGAAAAGGACCCCGGGAGGGGAGUGAAAAAGAACCUGAAACCCUAUGUUUACAUGCAGUGGAAGUGCGAUACAUGAACGCACAACCGCGUACUUUUUGUAGAACGGUCCGGCGAGUUGCCGGUGCUGGCAAGGUUAAGGACUACAGGUCCGGAGCCGAAGGGAAACCGAGUCUUAAUAGGGCUUACAGUCAGCAUCGGCAGACCCGAAACCGGGUGAUCUAUCCAUGUCCAGGUUGAAGUUCCCGUAAAAGGGAAUGGAGGACCGAACACACAUCCGUUGAAAAGGGUGGUGAUGAGGUGUGGAUAGGGGAGAAAUUCCAAUCGAACCCGGAGAUAGCUGGUUCUCCUCGAAAUAGCUUUUUAGGGCUAGCCUCGACUUAGUCAGACGGAGGUAGAGCACUGAAUUCCUGAGGGGGCGUCAAAGCCUACCAAGGGAUAUCAAACUGCGAAUGCCGCACUGAUGAUGGUCGGGAGUCAGACUGUACGAGAUAAGUUGGACAGUCAAAAGGGAAAGAGCCCAGACCUACAGCUAAGGUCCCAAAAUACGUGUUAAGUGGAAAAGGAUGUGGGAUUUCGAAGACAGCUAGGAUGUUGGCUUAGAAGCAGCCACACAUUCAAAGAGUGCGUAAUAGCUCACUAGUCGAGAGGUCCUGCGCCGAAAAUUUCCGGGGCUAAAACACGAUACCGAAGCUUAGGAAUGUAGCAAUACAUUGGUAGAGGAGCAAUCUCAGAGUGCCGAAGCGUUACCGUAAGGAAGCGUGGAGUUCUGAGAAGAGAGAAUGCCGGAAUGAGUAGCGAGAAUGAUGUGAGAAUCAUCAUGGCCGAAUAUCCAAGGAUUCCAGGGUAAAGCUGAUCUGCCCUGGGUAAGUCGGGACCCUAAGGCGAGGGAGAGAUCCGUAGUCGAUGGACAGCAGGUUCAUAUUCCUGCACCUGACAUGAUCAGAACUGUGGGGACACAGGAACGAAAACCGGACCCGGGAGAGCAAAGACCGGGCGAAGCGAAGCUAGGAGUGCGGUAGGCAAAUCCGCCGCACAAUCCGAAAGCGUGAUAGGGAGCGAAAUAUAAGUAGCGAAGCCGGUGGAGGGACUGUCGAGAAAAGCCGCUAUUGUAUCAUGUCAGCCCGUACCGCAAACCGACACAGGUGGAUGAGGAGAGAAUCCUAAGGCCGGCGGGAGAAGCAUUGUUAAGGAACUCGGCAAAAUGACCCCGUAACUUCGGGAGAAGGGGUGCUGCAGAGAUGCAGCCGCAGAGAAAAAGGCUCAAGCAACUGUUUAGCAAAAACACAGGUCUAUGCGAAACCGUAAGGUGAGGUAUAUGGGCUGACGCCUGCCCGGUGCUGGAAGGUUAAGAGGAGAGGUUAGCGAAAGCGAAGCUUUGAAUUUAAGCCCCAGUAAACGGCGGCCGUAACUAUAACGGUCCUAAGGUAGCGAAAUUCCUUGUCGGGUAAGUUCCGACCCGCACGAAAGGCGUAAUGAUUUGAGCGCUGUCUCAACAAUGCACCCGGUGAAAUUGAAGUACCAGUGAAGAUGCUGGUGACCUGCGCCAGGACGGAAAGACCCCAUGGAGCUUUUACUCCAGCUUGAUACCGGGAUUCGGUGUUACUCGUACAGGAUAGGUGGGAGGCUAAGAAGGAAGGACGCCAGUCUUUCCGGAGCCGCUGUUGGGAUACCACCCCUGUGGCACUGGAUUUUCUAACCCACAUCCGUAAUCCGGAUGGGGGACAAUGUCAGGUGGGGAGUUUGAUCUGGGGCGGUCGCCUCCGAAAGAGUAUCGGAGGCGCUCAAAGGUUCCCUCAGAAUGGUUGGAAACCAUUCGAAGAGCGCAAAGGCAGAAGGGAGCUUGACUGCGACACCGACGGGUGGAGCAGGUACGAAAGUAGGACUUAGUGAUCCGGUGGUAUAAAGUGGGAUUGCCAUCGCUCAACGGAUAAAAGCUACCCUGGGGAUAACAGGCUUAUCACUCCCAAGAGUUCACAUCGACGGAGUGGUUUGGCACCUCGAUGUCGGCUCAUCGCAUCCUGGGGCUGAAGUCGGUCCCAAGGGUUGGGCUGUUCGCCCAUUAAAGCGGUACGCGAGCUGGGUUCAGAACGUCGUGAGACAGUUCGGUCCCUAUCCGGCGCGGGCGUAAGAUAUCUGAGAGGAGCUGUCCUUAGUACGAGAGGACCGGGAUGGACUGACCACUGGUGCACCGGUUGGGGAGCAACCCCAUGGCCGGGUAGCCAAGUCGGGACGGGAUAAACGCUGAAGGCAUCUAAGCGUGAAGCCCCCCUCAAGAUGGGAUAUCUCAUGCGAAAGCGGUAAGACCCCUUGAAGACGACAAGGUAGAUAGGAGAGAGGUGUAAGCGUGGUGACACGUUCAGCUGACUCUUACUAAUCGGUCGAGGGUUUA